rnacentral:rRNA from 1 species
UGUUUAGGCGGGCGUCUAAGUGAGUGGUGAAAUCUUACAGCUCAACUGUAAAAUUGCCAUUGAUACUGGAUGUCUUGAAUUAGUGUGAAGUGGUUAGAAUGUGUAGUGUAGCGGUGAAAUGCAUAGAUAUUACACAGAAUACCAAUUGCGAAGGCAGAUCACUAACACUAUAUUGACGCUGAGGGACAAAAGAGUGGGGAGCGAACAGGAUUAGAUACCCUGGUAGUCC